AUUGAACGCUGGCGGCAUGCUUUACACAUGCAAGUCGAACGGUAACAGGGUGCUUGCACCGCUGACGAGUGGCGAACGGGUGAGUAAUGCGUCGGAACGUGCCGAGUAGCGGGGGAUAACGCAGCGAAAGUUGUGCUAAUACCGCAUACGUACUGAGGUAGAAAGUGGGGGACCUUCGGGCCUCACGCUAUUCGAGCGGCCGACGUCUGAUUAGCGAGUAGGUGAGGUAAAGGCUCACCUAGGCGACGAUCAGUAGCGGGGCUGAGAGGAUGAUCGGCCACGCUGGGACUGAGACACGGCCCAGACUCCGACGGGAGGCAGCAGUGGGGAAUUUUGGACAAUGGGCGAAAGCCUGAUCCAGCCAUGCCGCGUGUCUGAAGAAGGCCUUCGGGUUGUAAAGGACUUUUGUCAGGGAGGAAAUCCCUAGCGUUAAUACCGCUGGGGGAUGACAGUACCUGAAGAAUAAGCACCGGCUAACUACGUGCCAGCCGCCGCAGUAAAAC
rnacentral:rRNA from 1 species